AAUAGAUACCCGGGUAGUCCACGCCGUAAACGAUGAAUGCUAGGUGUCAGGGGUUUUGAUACCCUUGGUGCCGAAGUUAACACAUUAAGCAUUCCGCCUGGGGAGUACGGUCGCAAGACUGAAACUCAAAGGAAUUGACGGGGACCCGCACAAGCAGUGGAGUAUGUGGUUUAAUUCGAAGCAAUGCGAAGAACCUUACCAGGUCUUGACAUCCCUCUGAAUACGCUAGAGAUAGGGUAGGCCCCUUCGGGGGACAGAGGAGACAGGUGGUGCAUGGUUGUCGUCAGCUCGUGUCGUGAGAUGUUGGGUUAAGUCCCGCAACGAGCGCAACCCUUGUUCUUAGUUGCCAGCACGAGAGGGUGGGCACUCUAAGGAGACUGCCGGUGACAAACCGGAGGAAGGUGGGGAUGACGUCAAAUCAUCAUGCCCCUUAUGACCUGGGCUACACACGUACUACAAUGGCCGGUACAAUGGGAAGCGAAGCCGCGAGGCGGAGCCAAUCCCGACAAGCCGGUCUCAGUUCGGAUUGCAGGCUGCAACUCG
rnacentral:rRNA from 1 species